UACGGAGGGUGCAAGCGUUAAUCGGAAUUACUGGGCGUAAAGCGCACGCAGGUGGCUGAGAAAGUCGAUUGUGAAAGCCCUGGGCUUAACCUGGGAACUGCAUCCGAUACUGGAUGGCUUGAAUUCGGGAGAGGGAUGCAGAAUUCCAGGUGUAGCGGUGAAAUGCGUAGAUAUCUGGAGGAAUACCGGUGGCGAAGGCGGCAUCCUGGACCGAGAUUGACGCUGAACGGCGAAAGCUAGGGGAGCAAACGGG
rnacentral:rRNA from 1 species